GUGUCAGCAGCCGCGGUAAGACAGAGGGUGCAAACGUUGUUCGGAAUUACUGGGCGUAAAGCGCGUGUAGGCGGCAGGGCAUGUCGGAUGUGAAAGCCCAUGGCUCAACCAUGGAAGUGCACCCGAAACUGCCCAGCUAGAGUCUCGGAGAGGAAGGCGGAAUGCUUGGUGUAGAGGUGAAAUUCGUAGAUAUCAAGCAGAACACCGGUGGCGAAGGCGGCCUUCUGGACGAUGACUGACGCUGAGACGCGAAAGCGUGGGGAGCAAACAGGAUUAGAUACCCGCGUAGUCC
rnacentral:rRNA from 1 species